UAUUUCUUCCUUUGAUUCAACUCCCUGCAGAGGUUUUUCCAGAACACAAUGUCACUAUUUCCAGGUCAGUCAAGAUUCUCCUGCCAAGCAGGGUGCCAUGAAGAAAAUCUAGCUUAGAGUGUGAGCCAAAAGAAAUCAAAGUGGAAACAGAAAUGUCAGAGGACUAGAGAGGAAAUGACAGGAGUCUCCAUAGUCAUCAUUAGCAUCAACGUUUCACAUGCAGUGGCUUUAUUCAAGCCCACACAAGAUACAGGAGUCAUUGUCAGUAACGUGAGGACUAAAACAGAGCAAAUGUCACCUUGUCCCUGCAUCAGCUCCAGAAAGAAUUUUCACAUGGUUCCAGAUUAUUUCUUCACAGUAUCAUCAUAUUCUUUAUCUACAUCUUCCUGUAAUAAUUAACACUUUUAUAAACCUGGGUCCUGUCUUUGCAAGAGCAAUAGAUGGAUAAUAUAGCAACAUUUGAAGCAGAUGCUAUCAGUACUCCAGCAAUUCUCCUCAGAUUCUUCUGACUCUUUCUGUGUGCCGAUCCUCUGGCUUCAACAUGCUUGGCUCCUAGAGACUGGCAUCUCUAAGUCUCUUUGAAUGACUGCCCUUGGGCUACUGGCACCACGGUGACUGCAUGCACAGUCAGCCAGCAUCCAUGGUGGUAACAUGCCCUCAAGGAUAGCCCUUACCAAGGACAGACAGGCACAGAUUAUAAAAUCUCAGCAACCUUGCCCCAAGGAGGAACAAAUCUGAGGUUUAAUUUAGGUUCCAGAGCUCCCUAUCAGGAUUAACCUGAGGUUGAAAGUUAACCUGAAAUUAUACCCUUGCUAGUCUUCUCCUUCCUUCCUUGCUUCCCUCAUCUAUUCACAGGCAUAUCCUAUACUGUACUAUACUGAUUCCAACUAUACUGAAUCACUUGCACACAAACUCUUGUCUUAUUGUCUUCUUCUGGGAAACCUAAAAUCAUAUCUAGCUGUCACUGUGGUAAAAAUUUCACAGGCAUAUAGAGGUUUAUUAUGUCUUGGAUGCCAUGCUAAUUUUAAGAUGUUGUGAUGAAGUUACUCCCUCCCUCCCCCCUCAGCAAUGACUGGGAAUCAUGGCUAAUGGUUUGUAAAGCAUAAAUCAAGCCAACUUUUUCCCCUGCUAGAACCACAGGAAAUGGUGGUAUUGUUUUUGAUUAUACACUUCCCAGUACAUCAGUGAGAAGAUUAAUCCACAGAGGCAUAAAUGACCAGAAUUAUGAAUUGAGGUAAUUCUAGGCAUAGGAGAUCAAAAGAAAUAGCCAGGGACCUUAUUUUUCCUGUGAGAAGAGAGCAAGAGAGCUGGCAGAUGCAUGGCAAGGUUGAGACUUGAUUUAUGCCUGAAAGUAACUGACCGGAGGUAACAUUUGGCUCUAGCCCUGGCUCAGUUCCUUACUGUGGAUUCCUGAGCAAGCUGUUGUGCUGGUUCUCCUAGACCUUAGUUCACUCACCUGAGGACUUGCACUGAAUGAUACAUAAACUUCCUUCUGGAUUUUAGUUUUGUGAUUCUGUUUGCACAAUCAUAAACAGCCAACAGAAAAGCCAUACGUGAAGCUUCAGAAGCUGGAAAGUUUAAGCACGUAUCACUUACUCGUGAGUUAUACUUUUCUGUGUCUGAGAGCAUAUGAGGAGCUUUGCUUGAGUAGUAGCAAAGGAGCUUGUUAAGAAUUCAGAAGCACAGGAGUAGUGGAGUAUUAAAUGGCUAAGAAAAAGACACCAGCUAUCUCACUGGUGACACAAAGCAGAAUUUCGCAAUUUAGUCUCAUUCCCACCAGGAGUCUAUUACACAUUCAAGACCUUGAAAGACUACAAAGUCAAGAAUGGAAGGAACAGAUUAAAGGGGGAAUAUUACUUUCAGAAGGAAAGGGAAAGAAACAAAACGAACAAAAUGCAGAUACUGUUUAAUUUUAGUGAAAACUCUUUCUUAAGCCAAAGGAGUCUUACUUUUCUCAGCCCGCAAUAUCUGUGGGAAUGUCGAUGGAAUUUUCUGUUUCCUCAUCUUUAGUUUGUGAGAGGCAUGUGUCUGCCCCAUUGCAGCUCUUAAGAACUCACCUUCAUACUACUUGUCAAUUCCACAAAUCCUGAAAUGCAUUAUAUGAUUGGGCUGGACCCAUGAAAAUGUUGAAUAUAUCUUUGAAGUGCCAAUGACAGUGCUAACUCAAGUCACUACAAGUGUUCAGCAAAGGCCUUGUAAAACAAUUACUCAAAACACCCUCAUCCCUGCCCUUUGACCUCAUUCUUAUGGCUUCUGGUAUGGGGACUAACUACAUCAAGUCAUUCUGCAGAACAAACCUGUAGAAGAAGUGUGAAUAAUUUUUUUCAUUAAGAUAUUUAUAAUCAGAAGUAUUUACCCCAAACCGUAAACCAUUCAUAUAUUCCAAAGAUGUAACGUGACUUUUCUGAUAUUAGGACAUUAGAAGUAUAUGGAAAUUUAAAUUUGUUUUUGUAUCAAUUUGCUUUUUAAAAUAAAUACAUUUACGUGAUACAAAAUUUUAAAAGCAUAAAAUGAAAUUUUCCCUCCUGCCCCUGUUCACCCAGUAUUCCUCUGUGGAGAUAACCAGUGUUAUCAGUUUAUUAGUUUCUUUCAGAGAUAUUUUAUAUAAGCAAAUACUCUUGUGGGUAUGCAUUUGUACAUUUUACAUACUGUUAUAUACCUUCCUUUUCUCACAUAGUAUACAUUAGGAAUUAUUCUAUAUUGGUACUGAAAACCUCUUCUCAUUUUAAAUAUAGCAUUUCAACACUUCAUGCUCUCUGUCUCUCUUACCUGCUUAAAUGAAAAACCAGAACUAACUACCAUUUUUUAUGUGUGUAUUGUCUCUGACCCCCAACUAGAAUGUUAACUACAUGAGAGUAAAUAUUUUCAACUGUUUUAUUCACUACACUCAUUAUUAACGCCCAGUACAGUGCCUGGCAUACAGUAAUUACACAAUAAAUAUUUGAAUUUAUUCAAUAAAUGAAUAUGUUAGACUUGAUAACUAAUUUUAUUCUAUUGUAUGUAAUUAAUUAAAUGUGUUAAGUCACUAUUCUAUUAAUGGGCAUUUAAGUAGUGUCUGGUCUUUUGUUCUUAUAGACUCUGCUGAGAUGUGCAUUUUGGUACAUACAUCAUUAAUCCUAGAGCCAGUUUGUCUUUAGGGAAAAUUUCUAAAAGUGAAAUUGUAGUUUCAAAGAAUGCAGAAUUUUUUUUUUUGAGACGGAGUCUUUCUCUGCUGCCCA